GUAGAUUUAUGAUGGUUUUAGAUUUAUACGAUGUUUUGUAAAUUUUGACCACCUCACAAUUACAAAAUAAUGUUAUUAUUGCAUAAAUCUAAUUAGACUAUGUAAUCAUGAGAUUUAACAUUUUAUUAUAAAUUUUGGAAUCCUUAUAGUUUUAUUUAGAAUUCAUCAUAAAAUAUUACUUAAGCAAAAUAUCAUGGGUUUAACAAAGAAAAUAACUCAAAAACAAUGGAAAGGACAUAGAGACAUAUUUGUAGAAAGUCGAACUACGUUUCACCUAAAUUAUCGUUUAACAGCAACAAACAUAUUUUCACCAUAUUAAAAUAUAGAAUUUCUCAUAAUAUGAUAAUAAUUUUAAAAUGAUAUUGGACAAAUACCAUAAAUAUAUUUUUUAUAAACUUCUAACGAAAUUAGCAGAAAAAAAUCUCAAAAUAUCA
rnacentral:lncRNA from 1 species